rnacentral:rRNA from 1 species
UAACACAUGCAAGUCGAGCGGAAAGGCCCCUUCGGGGGUACUCGAGCGGCGAACGGGUGAGUAACACGUGAGCAACCUGCCCCUGACUCUGGGAUAAGCCCGGGAAACUGGGUCUAAUACCGGAUAUAACCACUGGUCUCAUGAUCGGGUGGUGGAAAGUUUUUCGGUUGGGGAUGGGCUCGCGGCCUAUCAGCUUGUUGGUGGGGUGAUGGCCUACCAAGGCGACGACGGGUAACCGGCCUGAGAGGGCGACCGGUCACACUGGGACUGAGACACGGCCCAGACUCCUACGGGAGGCAGCAGUGGGGAAUAUUGCGCAAUGGGCGGAAGCCUGACGCAGCGACGCCGCGUGAGGGAUGACGGCCUUCGGGUUGUAAACCUCUUUCAGCAGGGACGAAGCUAACGUGACGGUACCUGCAGAAGAAGCGCCGGCUAACUACGUGCCAGCAGCCGCGGUAAUACGUAGGGCGCAAGCGUUGUCCGGAAUUAUUGGGCGUAAAGAGCUCGUAGGCGGUUUGUCGCGUCUGUCGUGAAAGCCCACGGCUUAACCGUGGGUCUGCGGUGGAUACGGGCAGACUAGAGGCAGGUAGGGGAGAAUGGAAUUCCCGGUGUAGCGGUGAAAUGCGCAGAUAUCGGGAGGAACACCGGUGGCGAAGGCGGUUCUCUGGGCCUGUACUGACGCUGAGGAGCGAAAGCGUGGGGAGCGAACAGGAUUAGAUACCCUGGUAGUCCACGCCGUAAACGUUGGG